rnacentral:rRNA from 1 species
UUUCUGGGCAAUAGUAUUGGCCGGUCAGUUUUCCUGCUUGAGAGCUUUGUUCUGUGUCCAUCCUUCCAUCAAUAUUGGCUAUUCUUCAUUGAAUGGCAGUAGUUUGGAUCUUUUACUUUGAAAAAAUUAGAGUGUUUCAAGCAGGCUUUAUGCUAUGAAUACAUUAGCAUGGAAUAAUAAUUUAGGACUUCGGUUCUAUUUUGUUGGUUUCUAGGACUGAAGUAAUGAUUGAUAGGGAUAGUUGGGGGUCUAGUAUUCAGCGGCCAGAGGUGAAAUUCUCGGAUUCGCUGAUGACUAACUUAUGCGUAAGUUCACCAAGGAUUCUUCUUUAUCAAGAACGAAAGUGGGGGAUCUUGACGACAGAUACCGGCGUGUCUUACCUUAACUAUGCCACUAGGGUGAGUGAACGUUGCAUUUUCACUUCAUUCGGACCUUUUGAGAAAUCAAAGUCUUUGGGUUCCGGGGGGAGUAUGGUCGAAGGGUUAAACUUAAAGGAAUUUAAGGAAGGGCACCACCAGGAGUGGAGCCUGCGGUUUUAUUUGACUUCCACACGGGAAAACUUACCAAGUCCAGACACAGUAAGGAAUGACAGAAUUAAGGUCUUUCUUGAUUCUGUGGUUGGGGUCA